rnacentral:misc_RNA from 1 species
CCAAAUACUGAUGGAAUUGAUCCUGAUUCAUGUGAGGAUAUGAUAAUCGAAAACUGUUACAUAAGUGUGGGGGAUGAUGGCAUUGCUAUAAAGAGUGGGUGGGAUCAGUAUGGAAUUGCAUAUGGACGACCUUCAAUGAAUAUUCUCAUCCGUAACCUUGUGGUUCAAUCUAUGGUCAGUGCUGGAGUAUCAAUCGGCAGUGAGAUGUCAGGUGGUGUAUCAAAUGUCACUGUGGAAAACCUCCUUGUUUGGAGCUCAAGGCGUGCAGUUCGGAUCAAGACGGCCCCUGGAAGAGGUGGAUAUGUUCGACACAUAACCUACCGGAAUCUAACAUUUGACAAUGUCCGGGUCGGAAUUGUUAUCAAGACAGAUUAUAACGAACAUCCUGAUGAAGGUUAUGAUCGUAAGGCAUUUCCAAAACUUGACGACAUAAGCUUCACUGGGGU